rnacentral:rRNA from 1 species
AGCGAACGCUGGCGGCAGGCUUAACACAUGCAAGUCGAACGGUCCUUCGGGAUAGUGGCGGACGGGUGAGUAACACGUGGGAACGUACCCUUAGGUUCGGAACAACACAGGGAAACUUGUGCUAAUACCGGAUAAGCCCUUCGGGGGAAAGAUUUAUCGCCUUUGGAGCGGCCCGCGUCUGAUUAGCUUGUUGGUGAGGUAAUGGCUCACCAAGGCUACGAUCAGUAGCUGGUGUGAGAGGAUGGCCAGCCACACUUGGACUGAGACACGGCCCGGACUCCUGCGGGGGGCAGCAGUGGGGAAUCUUGCGCAAUGGGCGAAAGCCUGACGCAGCCAUGCCGCGGGGAUGAUGAAGGUCUUAGGAGUGUAAAAUCCUUUAACCGGGGACGAUAAGGACGGUACCCGGAGAAGAAGCCCCGGCUAACUUCGUGCCAGCAGCCGCCGUAA